AAGGUUUUUAGGCCCUUCUUGAAUGAGUCAGUGGUUUGUGGAGCCCUCAGGUGGUCUGGGAGGGAGUUUAACAGGCAAGGA